GGGGCCUGUACUACGAACGGAGUUCAACCUACUUAGAACUAACUCAGGGUUUCCGCGGUAACCCGGGGUUGACUAAACCUGGACAUCUUGAUUGGUCUUAAACGGUACUACGACGCUGAUUAUGAAGUUGAUCAGCUGAACCUGUGUUCACUCAACCAGAGUUACUGCGCGUUCACAUAAAAGGGGUGGUACCAGCGCAAAAAAACACUCUCGAUCAUGGCGGGCUCUCCCUAUUUCACAGAAGAGGAAUGCGAGAUCAUAAUGAGGAGUUAUGAAGAGUAUAAACCGACCCUGGCUGCUAAAUCCAACACCGCGGCAGCAAACAAGGCGCGACUGGGGUGUUGGCAGCAAAUUACAGACCGCGUAAAUUCAGGUACCAGCAGCGCCAAACGGACCUGGCAGCAGGUGAAGAUGAAGUACAAAAACAUCAUUCAGAAUGGUAAGUAAGAAUGUGUGUGUGUGUGUGUGUGUGUGUGUGUGUGUGUGUGUGUGUGUGUGUGUGUGUGUGUGUGUGUGUGUGUGUGUGUGUGUGUGUGUGUGUGUGUGGAGGACUUGGAGGAGCUUUCCCCUCCUGAAGCCUCCCUCCCAGGGACCUCACAGUCAGACAAAGUACAGUUUCUCCUUCCUUGUUUAAUUACUGAAUAUAAUGCAUACUAGGCUAAUGUGUACAACAUGGGGUGGGGGUUGUGUAGGCCACAGUGGACAAUGUCCGCAGUUUAUACAAGAAAGUGCUGGAGCUAGACCGCACAAAGAAGAGGCUGGAGAUCAGAAAGCUGGAAUUAGAAAUUGAAAAGCUGGAACAUGAGAAGAAGGUAUUGUCUUAUCACUCCAUUAAUAUAUAGGCUACCCACACCCUAUAUGUGUGUCAUUGAUCUGGCUUUUCGUCACCUUUUCUUCUUGCAGGAAAGAGAGUCAUCUAAUAAAUGAAUAAUAUCAGA